AAUAGAUGACGUCCUUGACUUUUUUUACAUAUUUGACCAUUCGUCUUAUUUAAAAAAUUUACGUAAUUAUAAUUUAUUUUGUUGUGAGUUGUUUUAUCACUCAUAGUACUUUAAGUGUGAUUUAUAUCAUAUACAUUUGCAUAAAAUUUUUAAAUAAGACGAAUGGUCAAACAUGUGAGAAAAAGUUAACGGCGUCAUCUAUU
rfam:Oryza glaberrima chromosome 5 Oglab05_0076_4, whole genome shotgun sequence.